rnacentral:rRNA from 1 species
CCUACGGGAGGCAGCAGUGGGGAAUAUUGCACAAUGGGGGAAACCCUGAUGCAGCAACGCCGCGUGAAGGAUGACGGUUUUCGGAUUGUAAACUUCUUUUCUUAGUGACGAAGACAGUGACGGUAGCUAAGGAAUAAGCAUCGGCUAACUACGUGCCAGCAGCCGCGGUAAUACGUAGGAUGCAAGCGUUAUCCGGAUUUACUGGGUGUAAAGGGAGCGCAGGCGGGACUGCAAGUUGGAUGUGAAAUACCGUGGCUUAACCACGGAACUGCAUCCAAAACUGUAGUUCUUGAGUGAAGUAGAGGCAAGCGGAAUUCCGAGUGUAGCGGUGAAAUGCGUAGAUAUUCGGAGGAACACCAGUGGCGAAGGCGGCUUGCUGGGCUUUAACUGACGCUGAGGCUCGAAAGUGUGGGGAGCAAACAGGAUUAGAUACCCUGGUAGUCCACACUGUAAACGAUGAUAGCUAGGUGUGGGGGGUCUGACCCCUUCCGUGCCGGAGUUAACGCAAUAAGCUAUCCACCUGGGGAGUACGACCGCAAGGUUGAAACUCAAAGGAAUUGACGGGGGCCCGCACAAGCAGUGGAGUAUGUGGUUUAAUUCGACGCAACGCGAAGAACCUUACCAAGUCUUGACAUCCUGCGACGCACAUAGAAAUAUGUGUUUCCUUCGGGACGCAGAGACAGGUGGUGCAUGGUUGUCGUCAGCUCGUGUCGUGAGAUGUUGGGUUAAGUCCCGCAACGAGCGCAACCCCUGUCCUGUGUUGCCAGCACGUAAAGGUGGGAACUCACAGGAGACUGCCGCGGAGAACGCGGAGGAAGGCGGGGAUGACGUCAAGUCAUCAUGCCCCUUAUGACCUGGGCUACACACGUACUACAAUGGGAUGUACAGAGGGCAGCGAAGCCGCGAGGCGGAGCGAAUCCCAGAAAACAUCUCCCAGUUCGGAUUGCAGGCUGCAACUCGCCUGCAUGAAGUCGGAAUCGCUAGUAAUCGCAGGUCAGCAUACUGCGGUGAAUACGUUCCCGGGCCUUGUACACACCGCCCGUCACACCACGGAAGUCAUUCACACCCGAAGCCGGUGGGCUAACCAUAUGGAGGCAGCCGUCUAAGGUGGGGGCGAUGACUGGGGUGAAGUCGUAACAAGGUAGCCGUAUCGGAAGGUGCGGCUG